rnacentral:rRNA from 1 species
UACGUAGGGCGCAAGCGUUAUCCGGAAUUUUAUUGGGCGUAAAGAGCUCGUAGGCGGUUUGUCGCGUCUGCCGUGAAAGUCCGGGGCUCAACUCCGGAUCUGCGGUGGGUACGGGCAGACUAGAGUGAUGUAGGGGAGACUGGAAUUCCUGGUGUAGCGGUGAAAUGCGCAGAUAUCAGGAGGAACACCGAUGCGAAGGCAGGUCUCUGGGCAUUAACUACGUGAGGCGCGAAAAGCGUGGGGGAGCAAAAC